UACAGGGGGGGCAAGCGUUGUUCGGAAUUACUGGGCGUAAAGCGCACGAGGCGGUCAGUCAAGUCGGGUGUGAAAGCCCUGGGCUCAACCUGGGGAAUUGCAUUCGAAACUAUCUGACUCGAGUAUGGGAGAGGGAAGCGGAAUUUCCGGUGUAGCGGUGAAAUGCGUAGAUAUCGGAAGGAACACCAGUGGCGAAGGCGGCUCCUGGACAAUACUGACGUGAGGUGCGAA
rnacentral:rRNA from 1 species